UUUUUUUUUUUUUUUUUUUCCAGUAAGGGUGAAAUACACGCCACUAAAUUAGAAUCUCCCCUCUCUCACUAAUAAGAAAACCAGGAAGUUGGAUUGAAAGUGUUCAGUUUGUCCUUGAUCUCUUGGAAGAACUCCCAGUCUUUAAAUUCACACUGCAGCUGUUGACUGAAAAUUAUACAGAAAGAUUAAUACGUUCUCAAACUAAUUUUCUGUCAGGCAAGUUGAGUGCUAAAGGCUUACAAAAUACUUAUGUCUAAAUAAAGGCAAUACCCUGUUACAUCCAUAGGAAACUAACACAAAUAAUUUGAGUGUAGAAAAUAAAGCUCAAUUUUAUUUUAACCCAGUACUAAAUGACAAGAGUGUCCUGUGAUGACCGAAUGCUUGGACAAUGUAGGGUGUCCACCAUCACUGAGCCAAAAUACAAUCACAUGCUUCAGAGUCAGAGGCCGACUCCUCAAAGCAAGCCAGCUUUCCCAGCAGAGAGGGGAACAGGAUGCUGGUGGCUUCUAUCAACACCCAGAUGGCAAAUGAGAAAGAGUGAAAUUUAUAGCCAUAAAUCUUUCAGGAACAAAGUAAAUCUGUAAUUUAUUCAUAAUUUAAGAAUAAAUACAGAGGGACCCCUGGGUGGCUCUGUGGUUGAGCGUCUGCCUUCAACUCAGGGCCUGAUCCCGGGAUCUAGGAUCGAGUCCCACAUUGGGCUCCUUGCAAGAAGCCUGCUUCUUCCUCUGCCUGGGUCUCUCUCUCUCUGCCUCUCAUGAAUAAAUAAAAUCUUAAAAAAAAAAAAAAAAAAAAAAAAACCUUUUUAAAUCUUAAAAAAAAAAAAUCUUAAAAACGAGGAUAAUACAGUAUUGUGGUGCAUGAAAAAAAACAACCGAACUAGUAGUCAGAUCUGAAUUCUAGUAUAGCUCCUUCUAACAUCAGGCUUGCCCCUCUACUAUUGAAGAGAGUUGCUUUGAUGAAACUCAGCUGUCUUUCAGCUGUGAAAUGAGUAUUUUAGAUUUGAGGAAGGGAAAUCUACUUUAUUACAAUUAUAUUUUAAUGUCCAUUAUCUAUUUAGUCUUAAUACACAAUUGUUUAAAUAUGAUGAUAUUGAUGCUUAAAACUUCUUAGAAUCGGGUUUGGAUGAAAAUCCCCACACAUCUAGCCAUAAUCGAGAUAAAAGUGAAUUUAGGUCAAGACAUGCCAACCAGUCCAAGACAGAAAGCAAUGUCAGUAUGAUACCUGGAACUUCCAGUUCCAUAAUGUAAUUUGAUACUGCUAAAAUGCAACUUCCUCUUGAAAAUUUUAAAAAAUUUCUUACUAAAAUGUAAGAAAUUUUUGUGGUUGUUAAAAAAUUAAAGGACUUCAAAAUACUAGAAAUUCCCCAAUACGCAAAUAUUUGACUAACCUGAAACCACAUAUAAGCUACUGUUACAUUUUACUCAAAAUGAUUGUGUGCAAUUCAGAUCUUGAUAUGUCAAUCCUGAUGGUGGUACAUACGACCAAUUUAGAUUUACACUGGGCUUGUGUGAAAUUAAAUAUGGCAGCAAUAGUUAGGAUGACCACUGAUAUAUAUUAAAAAAAAAAAAAAG
rnacentral:lncRNA from 1 species